AGAUUCUUGAUCAACUCUUUAGCAUCUCUCUUUCACUUCCAAGGCCUGUUGGUUCAAAUUCUGGUGUGGAUAUAGAAUUGUCCUACAACGCUUUGUCCUCCCUUGAGGAUGUUAUAGCCAUCUUGAGAAGUGAUGCUUCUAUUGAUCCAUCGGAGGUUUUCAACAGAAUUGUUUCCUCUGCCUGUACUCUAUUGACAAAGGACGAGCUUGUAGGCACCUUGC